rnacentral:rRNA from 1 species
GUCAAGUCAUCAUGCCCCUUACGUCCAGGGCUUCACGCAUGCUACAAUGGCCGGUACAAAGAGCUGCGAACCUGCAAAGGUAAGCGAAUCUCAAAAAGCCGGUCUCAGUUCGGAUUGGGGUCUGCAACUCGACCCCAUGAAGUCGGAGUCGCUAGUAAUCGCAGAUCAGCAACGCUGCGGUGAAUACGUUCCCGGGGCUU